rnacentral:rRNA from 1 species
GAUGAACGCUGGCGGCGUGCCUAAUACAUGCAAGUCGAGCGAACGGACGAGAAGCUUGCUUCUCUGAUGUUAGCGGCGGACGGGUGAGUAACACGUGGAUAACCUACCUAUAAGACUGGGAUAACUUCGGGAAACCGUAGCUAAUACCGGAUAAUAUUUUGAACCGCAUGGUUCAAAAGUGAAAGACGGUCUUGCUGUCACUUAUAGGUGGAUCCGCGCUGCAUUAGCUAGUUGGUAAGGUAACGGCUUACCAAGGCAACGAUGCAUAGCCGACCUGAGAGGGUGAUCGGCCACACUGGAACUGAGACACGGUCCAGACUCCUACGGGAGGCAGCAGUAGGGAAUCUUCCGCAAUGGGCGAAAGCCUGACGGAGCAACGCCGCGUGAGUGAUGAGGGUCUUCGGAUCGUAAAACUCUGUUAUUAGGGAAGAACAUAUGUGUAAGUAACUGUGCACAUCUUGACGGUACCUAAUCAGAAAGCCACGGCUAACUACGUG